GUGACCAUGUCGUCCCGUGUGCUGUCAUGGCUCCCACACUUCGCUCUCUUGCUGCCUGUCCUGUUGAUGUUAUGUUCCUGCGUAAACGGUCAAACUGACGGCACAUCGAUCGUGGCAGCUCUCAUCAUCAACAAGAUCGAGAGGUGUAUCGACAAAUUGAACGCCA